rnacentral:misc_RNA from 1 species
UCCGCGUUGACCGCGGCAGUCCCGCGUGAAAAAUAACACACGGCAAGGGUUGCGCUCGUUACCCCACUGAAGGGAACACUUCAAAGCACGAGCUGACGACAACCAUGCAGCACCUGCCUAACAAUCUCGAAGACGUCCUGCCUUUCGGCUGGACCACAGUUAGGUUUCAAACCUUGGUAAGGUUCUUCGCUUAGCAUCGAAUUAAACCACACGCUCCACCGCUUGUGCGGGCCCCCGUCUAUUCCUUUGAGUUUUAAGCUUGCGCUCGUACUACCCAGGCGGUCAACUUAACGCGUUAGCUUCGACACUGAAGGGGUCGAACCCUCCAAUGCCUAGUUGACAUCGUUUACGGCGUGGAUUAC